UACGAAGGGGGCUAGCGUUGUUCGGAAUUACUGGGCGUAAAGCGCGCGCAGGCGGCCUUUCAAGUCGGUGGUGAAAUCCCAAAGCUCAACUUUGGAAUUGCCAUCGAAACUGUAAGGCUUGGGUACGGGAGAGGUGAGUGGAAUUCCGAGUGUAGAGGUGAAAUUCGUAGAUAUUCGGAAGAACACCAGUGGCGAAGGCGGCUCACUGGCCCGUUACCGACGCUCAGGCGCGACAGCGUGGGGAGCAAACAGG
rnacentral:rRNA from 1 species